rnacentral:rRNA from 1 species
GGGAGGUAGUGACAAUAAAUAACAACGCAGGGCUCUUUCGGGUCUUGUUAUUGGAAUGAGUACGAUUUAAAUCUCCUAACGAGGAACAAUUGGAGGGCAAGUCUGGUGCCAGCAGCCGCGGUAAUUCCAGCUCCAAUAGCGUAUAUUAAAGUUGCUGCAGUUAAAAAGCUCGUAGUUGAAUUUCGGGACCAUCAUGUCGGUCGUGCCUCGGUACGUACUGGCAUCGUCGGUUUCUCCCUUCUGACGAACCAUGAUGUCAUUUAUUUGGUGUCGUGGGGAAUCAGGACUGUUACUUUGAAAAAUUAGAGUGUUUAAAGCAGGCUCACGCUUGAAUACAUUAGCAUGGAAUAAUGAAAUAGGACGUUUGAUUCUAUUUUGUUGGUUUCUAGGAUCGACGUAAUGAUUAAUAGGGAUAGUUGGG